rnacentral:misc_RNA from 1 species
GUAGUAUUUUUGAUUACGUCUGUCAUGUCAUCGUCAUCCCUUUAAUAAACAGUUGAAUUUUUCAAUUUUCAUUUUUUCAUUGCACAAUUUUGAAGGCAAAGGGAUUCAAAAGUACAAACUACUUGGAAAAUUAUUAUUAUCGUUAUAUUCUUAUAUGUACAAGCACGAAAUGAAGUAUUUUAAGAAUUUUCUUUGUCCUUUGUAAACAAAAUGAAAUAAACCAACUUAAUUUAUAAAUAACUCAAAAAACAAAAAAAUAUGGGUAGUAGUUUCCACAAUUUCUGAUCUGCGAAGGUUAAGAUUUAUGCGUCUGUUUUCAUUGUCUGUCCGUCAGUGCCAAGCUGGUAUUUUGGAAUAAAAUGGACUAUUUACCUACUGAGAUUAUUGAAAGAAUUUUAAGAUAUUGUGAUGGGAAAACGUUAUUAAAUGCUAGGAAAACUGAUGAAAAAUUUAAGGCUGUAGUGGAUUAUUUAACGCAGAAAACAGAAAUCUGGAAAUGCUGUUGCAAUGAAGAUAUACCAAAGAAUCAACUUAUAGAGUAUUUGCAACGUUACAAUGAAGAGAGCUAUGAUAAAUGGCUAAAUAUUUACAUAAAUUGGAGUUCUUGGGAAAACCCCAAACAAGUAGUGUGUGAUAUUAUUUUAAGUCCUGUAGAAGUACCUAAAAUAUCAUGUAUGGCUGUUUCUCGCCAUUUUAUAGCCGUAGGAUCCCAAGAUGGGCGACUUAGGAUAUUUACAAAUCAGUGGAAAAUUGUAUUUUCUGCUAGGCUUUUAGCAGUAAGGAUAAACAGCCUUACUUUUAUCGAAAGUGAACAUGAUGCAAAAGGCAUUGAUAUGUGCCUUGCACUUUCAUUUAACAAUGGUCUUAAUAUAUUUUGCUUUGAUGGACUGUAUUCAAAUCAUCUAGAAGUCCAUGAUGUAAAAUCACACAGUGUUUACAAAAAUUUUAUUUGCUACGAAAAAAUAGGAGGCCGAAUCACCAUAGCAAAACUAAAAAGCAUCGAGGGAGGUAGACGAGAAUUGUCUGAAAUUUGGUUCUCCAGGAUCUAUUCGCCAUCGAGUUUGUCAUGUAUGAAGAUGUGGGAUGGUGUUUGUACGUUCCUAAUCAAUAACGAAGUAAAAAUAAUAGAAUACGGAACGAUAGAAGGGUCCACUAUGGAUUUGAUGAAGAAGAAAACGAAAAUUUCGUUUAAUUUUCCGUUGAGUGAUACUUCCGUGACGCAGAUAUUAAGAAAUGAUGUCAUAAUUAGUUUAAGUAAAUGUGAGGAUUUUCUUAAUUGUAAUCUUAUCGAAUUUUUUCUACUUGGAGAGAACGACAAAUGCAGCAAGAAAGCGUUCAGUAUCUGGGAGAUAUUUAAAUGUUUCAUCACUUGCAUUUAUGUUUACGGAAAUACCUUAAUUUUAGGUACCGACGUUGGAAGUAUAUACAUAUAUAGCGUGUCCAGUUGGAAAAAUUUGGAUUUGCGGAACUACAGCCACAAGUUGUUAAUUGGAAAGCAUCCCAUCACUUGCAUGGACGUAAAGGAGAUGCAGAACGAACGCAGAAUAUACGUUGCGACGCGAAUAAACAUCCACGAAGUGUCUGGAUUCUUACCGAACGUUUACUGAGCCUAACACGCUGAAGAUUUUUGUAUUUUAAUAUGUUUAUUAGAUAUAUAUGCAUUUGGACUGUUAGAUAGUAUUUGUUGUAUCGGUGUUAUCAUUGUAUCAGUGUUAACCGCCAAAAUAUCAGUUCUUACAUACAGUGAACGUAUCUUAUGGUGAGGUGCGUGGAGUAACGAUAAUCGAGUUCAGCAUUCUUUCAGUGGCGUAUCUGCUAUGUAUUAUGGUUCAUUUUUUAAAUAGGAGGAGUAAUUCAAAUUUACCGCGCCUUAAUUCUUGUUUGUAAUUGGUCCAACUGCUGGCAAGUUUACUCCAAUAAAUUAUUAAAUUUUGACACUAUUGACAUUUAUGAAAUUUUGACACUAAUAGCAUUUAAAAUUCAUAGAUUAAUUAAGUUAUGUCGGCGAUUUUUUGUUUUCUGUGAUAUUUCUUUAAUUUUUAUUGUGCAUUUAUAUAAAAACAGUUGUUUUUGACCUCUUUGGCAAUGUUUUAGUAUAUUUUAUUUAUGGAUUACCGUCGAAGGCCGACAUGAUCAACCAAAAAAGAAAAUGAAUCUGGUUAUUUUUCUAGUGACAUUAUUGGGCCCUGAAUCUGUCUGUUGAGUGUACUCCUCCUAUUUAAAAAAUGAACCAUAGUUACUGCUACGUGUUGUAGAUUUGAGAUGAAGGAGUCACUUGGUCUUGUACACCUUGCUUGAAAGUUUUCUUUUACAUACUCUCUAGCUAUGUCAAGCUUCUUUUGGAUCGAGACCUUGCUUCAGCGGAUUUUCAGCAGAUGUCCUUUCCUGCGUUGGAUUUUUACGGUUCUUACUGAGCUUUUUCGCUGUUUUGCUGACCAAUUCUCUGUAAUGAACGUCUGGUUUGUAAGGGGAUCCAGUUUAAUAGUUUUUUUUUGUCGAUUCUUAGUCUAUUCUAGGAAUAUUAACAUGCCUGAUAGGGCUAAUAAAACUUGGAGGUUCCCUGAUACUGGAGUUGAGGCAUUUUAGCUUUCAUGACAAGAUUUUAAUGUUCUCGGAGAGAUUGAUAAGCAUUAGUUAGCAUUAUCUGGGCUGCGGUGGGAUUAUUGGGUUCUUACUGAGCUGCUUCGCGGUUUUGCUGAACAAUUAUCUGUAAUGAACGUCUGGUUUCUAACGGGAUCCAGUUUAAUAGUUUCGUUAUCGAUUCUUAGUCUAUUCAAGGAAUAUGAACAAGCUCGAUAGGGCUAAUGAAACUUGGAGGUUCCCUGAUACUGGAGAUGAGGCAUUUUAGCUUUCAUGACAAGAUUUUAAUGUUCUCGAAGAGAUUAAUAAACAUUAGUUAGCAUUAUCUGGGCUGCGGUGGGAUUAUCGGGUUCUUACUGAGCUUCUUCGGCGGUUUUGCUGACCAAGUCUCAUUAAUGAACGUCUGAUCAGUAACGGGAACCAGUCUAAUAGUUUCUUUCUCGAUUCUUAGUUUUUUCUGGGGCUAGGAACAUGCCUGAUAGGGCUAACGAAGCUUGGAGGUUUCCUGAUAAGGAGUUGAAGCAUUUUAUCUUCCACGACCAGAUUUUAAUGUUCUCGGAGAGAUUGAUAAGCAUGAGUUAGUGUUAUCAGCGCUGCGUUGGACUUUGAGACAUUUUAGCUUUCAUGACAAGAUUUUAAUGUUCUCGGAGAGAUUGAUAAGCAUUAGUUAGCAUUAUCUGGGCUGCGUUGGGCUUAUUGGGUUCUUACUGAGCUUCUUCGGCAGUUUUGCUGACCGAUUCUCAGUAACGAACGUCUAAUUUGUAACGAGAACCAGUCUAAUAGUUUCUUUGUCGAUGCUUAGUCUUUUCUGGGGCUAGGAACAUGCCUGAUAGGGCUAAUGAAGCUGGGAGGUUUCCUGAUAAGGAGUUGAAGCAUUUUAGCUUCCACGACCAGAUUUUAGUGUUCUCGGAGAGAUUAAUAAGCAUUAGUUAGUGCUAUCAGCGCUGCCUUGGACUUUUUCGGUUCUUACUGAGCUUCUUCGGCGGUUUUGCUGACCAAUUCUCAUUAAUGAACGUCUGGUUUGUAGCGGGAUCCAGUUUAAUAGUUUUUUUUUGUCGAUUAUUAGUCUAUUCUAGGAAUAGGAACAUGCCUGAUAGGGCUAAUAAAACUUGGAGGUUCCCUGAUACUGGAGUUGAGGCAUUUUAGCUUUCAUGAGAAGAUUUUAAUGUUCUGGAAGAGAUUAAUAAGCAUUAGUUAGUGUUAUCAGCGCUGCGUUGGGCUUAUUGGGUUCUUACUGAGCUUCUUCGCGGUUUUGCUGACCAAUUCUCUGUAAUGAACGUCUGGUUUCUAACCGGAUCCAGUUUAAUAAUUUCUUUAUCGAUUCUUAGUCUAUUCUAGGAAUAGGAACAUGCCUGAUAGGGCCAAUGAAACUUGGAGGUUCUUGAUACCGGAGUUGAGGCAUUUAGCUUCUACGACAAGAUUUUAAUGUUCUCGGAGAGAUUAAUAAGCAUUAUUAUAUUUAGUAUUAUCAGCGCUGCGUUGGACUUUUUCGGAUUUUACUGAGCUUCUUCGCGGUUAUGCCGACUCUCAGUAAUGAACGUCUGGUUUGUGACGAGAUCCACUUUAAUAGUUUGUUUAUCUAUUCUUAGUCUAUUCUAGGACUAUACUCAUGCCUGAAAGGACUAAUGAAACUUAGAGGUUCCCUAAUACCUGAGUUGAGGCCAUUUAGCUUCCACGACAAGAUUUUAAUGUUCUGGGAGAGAUUGAUAAGCAUUAGUUAGCAUUAUCUGCGCCGCGUUGGAUCUUCUCGCUUCUUACUGAGUUUGGUCUCGGUUUUGCUGAUCAAUUCUCAGUAAUGAACGUCUGGUUUGUAAAGGGAUCCAGUUUAAUAGUUUCUUUGUCUAUUCUAGAACUAGGAACAUGCCUGAUACAGCUAAUGAAACUUGGAGUAACGUGAUACGGACUUAAGUCCUUUUAUAUUCAAGGACAAGAUUUUAAUGUUCUCUGAGAGGUUGCUAUUAGUUACUUUUAUCUCGCGGGUUCUUAAAGGCGGUCCUUUUAAAAUUUUGACAACAAAACCUCACCGUAAUUUGCGUUUGUUGUAAACUGUACUAUACAGCUACGAUAAAUUGUAUAUUUACUGUGCUAUUUCACCCCUAGUUGCCGUUUUUGCGAUUAAUAGAUCAUUGCUUUUGCUAUAUAAAAAGUCACAAGAAUAGGUGAAAUGGAGGAACUCCAAAUCAAAAAAGAAGUUAUAUUAGUAUCAAAUUUUAUAAUAUAUAAUUAUAUUAGUAUCAAAAACUAAUUGUAAUGGUAUUAAAGUACGACCGUCAAUUGAAAUAUAAUAUGUAAUUCACAAGGACGUUUGUCGGAGGGUUAUCAAUCACAAAAUUGGAGAAGUAAUCAGAAAGAUCUUGCUACUUCACCUUUAUUUGAAUACGUUUCGAUACAUAUCAUCAUCAACCCGUACACGUCCACUGCUGGAUAUAGGCCUCCCUCAGCUCUUUCCAUCUGUCUGUUUUGUGCGGCUUGCAUCCAGUUACCGAUAACAUGUUUCAGAGCGUCGGCCCAUCUGGUUGGUGGGCGUACUCUGCUCCGUAGUGCUCGUGGUCUUCACUCGACAAUACGUUUUGUCCAUCCGUUGUCUGACAAUCUGGCGACGUGUCCUGCCCAAUUCCAUUUUAACGAUGCGAUUUUUUCGACACCUUCUGUUGUUUUUGUUCUACGGCGUAUUUUUUCGUUUGGGAUUCGGUCUCUCAGGGAGACACCCAACAUCUGGCGCUCUAUAGCCCUCUGAGUUACACGAAUCUUGUUUACUAUCUUUUUGUGAGUGUUAAUGUUUCGGCUCCAUAAGUGAGUACAGGCCACACACUGGCCAAAGAUUUUCCUUUUGAGGCAUAUGGGCAAGUCCGAUUUAAAUACAUAUGUAGUUCAGUUUACCAAAUGCUGCCCAGGCUAAUCCUAUGCGACGUGGGAGCUCGCACGUUUGGUUAUCUCUUCCCAACCGAAUUUCAUGUCUCAAGUACUUAUAAGUUUUCAUACACAGUUCUUCUAAAAGUAAUAACAUAACUGACAAGAAUUUGCAGCUCUACAAAGGUAGAAGCGAAGCAUAAGUUCAACACAGGAACCAUGGAAUUAAACUUUCAGCUGCAAGUUCUGGUAAGUUAUUUUUUGUAACUUUCAUUAUGGAUGUAAGCUCAUUGAAUUAUAGAAUGAACUGAUGAUGUAUAUGAAUUCAUGUCCUAAACGUCUUCAAUAAAGGAUAAAGCAGCAAGAUCCUUUUGUUUUCUUCUCCAAUCCUCCCACUAGGAUACUUGUGGUAGGUUUAUCGGUCAAAAAAUUGAAUGUGUUAAGACGCAUGGAAUGUGGUAAACAAGAUUAAUUUGUUUAAGAGAAGACAAAGGAGUUUUAGUUUUGGAAAAUAAGUUCCUGACAGUUUUAGCGUUCUUAAUCGCUACUUUGAAUGCUAUUCGCUCCGUGCAUGACUGACGCGACACCUAGCGUAGCCUCCUGAAAUUUUUGGCGAACACAAUUUGACGUUAAACAUAUUAUAAGAUACACAUAUGACAUAUUUGACGUUAAUGUAAUAUUUUAUUUAUCAUUUUUGAUAAAAUUUAUUAUACAAACAAUAAGUUCGAGUGUCGAAUAAACGUCAAAUUAAAAAGCGGAUAUUUGGAAGUUUUCUGAAGAAAAUAUCAAUUUUAAGGGUUUUUCUUCACUUUUUCGUUAUAGUUUAGCUGUCGGUGUUAACAUUAAUUACAGUUGAGUUCCCGAGUCUUUACCCGUACGUCAUCAUUUAAAGUAUACGAAAUAAGUCGGAAAUUUAUUAAACGCAACAGUAAGUGACAGAAAGUGGCUAUUAUUCCGAUCACGGGAUAUAGUAUAAAAUUUGACGUUAUCAAGUAAAUAGAAUAUCAAAUUUAAGUUUUGCUUUAAAAUUUUGGUGCAUAAUUACAGCUACAUUUGAAGUAGCUUAAUAAAUUCUUUUAUUAUCAUUGCUUAAUAAAUAAAUAAACAAUUUAUAAAAAAAUUCGAUAACAUACUUUCUUUUAGUUAUUUUAUUCACUUUGGCGGAACAUUAAACACAAGCAUUCCUUAACUUUUUCAACAAUGAGGUUAUUUGUACGUUGUCAAAAUUUGUCGUAAAAUAACAUAAACUUUCUAACUCCAAUAAUAAAUUAGUUGUGAAAACAACUGUUUGUAUACUAUAAAAAACUUCAAAACGCAAAAAUUCGGCAAAAUAACAGCAAAAAAUUUAACAAACUGACAGCCACAAAAGUAAACAAACCAAAACGUCAGAAAUUGUACUUAAAAUAUGUGAAAACUUCCCCAAUUGUCUUUCUUUGUACUUACCUCUUUUCAAUGCACUGAGUCUAGAUCGUUCAUAAAAAUAACAUGUGUUUUUACUUAAUAACAAACGGCAGCUGGUUUGUCAUGAAUUUCAUGCGUGGAAGAGAAUGAUGCUAGAUAAAAAGUAUGUGUUUUAUCUCGCCAGGUAUUAAUGACGCACGGGUAAAGACUCGCGGACUCAACUGUAAGUGUACAUCGAAAACAAUUAGACAGUGUGAAUUAUGAUUACCAGAUUUUAACAUUAGCUGGGUCUAUUGAACUAUUAAUUUUGUGGUGUGUGUGUAACACAAAAUGGAAAUAGCUGACGAUUGGAAUAUACCACCAGAUCGGGGAAGGAAAGAAAGUCAGUAUGAAAAUAUAAAUAUAAAUAAUAAAAAUCAAAACGGCAAUAAUAUGGUAAGCGAAGUAUCUAUUGAAAAAAAUUAUUAUUCAAUCAUUAUUCGCCAAAGUUGUCAUAUUUCGCCACUACGGGCGCUGUCAUAGUUUCGUGUGUCCCUAUCAUGGUCACGCACGGAUCGAAUAUUUCUACACAAUUUAAUAAGUUUAUCUGUACCUUGAGGAAAGUACGGUAAUGCUGAAUAAUGGAAUGUUGAUAAAGUCAAUUGAGUCCCAUGUGUUGUAGUUUGUAGUUCUUAAUCGCUAAGCGCUUAAUCUUGUUUACGGUAAUGUAUAAGACCGUUAGCGUAGACAUUUCAAACACUGUUCUAUAUUUAGCCAAAGAAUGUUUUGUAUCUUUAUUAUUUUGAUAAUAAAAUGAUUUUAAUUGUC